rnacentral:rRNA from 1 species
AUUGAACGCUGGCGGCAUGCCUUACACAUGCAAAUCGAACGGUAACGGGCCUUCGGGUGCCGACGAGUGGCGAACGGGUGCGUAAUACAUCGGAACGUGCCCGAUCGUGGGGGAUAACGAGGCGAAAGCUUUGCUAAUACCGCAUACGAUCUACGGAUGACAGCAGGGGACCGCAAGGCCUUGCGCGGACGGAGCGGCCGAUGGCAGAUUAGGUAGUUGGUGGGAUAAAAGCUUACCAAGCCGACGAUCUGUAGCUGGUCUGAGAGGAUGAUCAGCCACACUGGGACUGAGACACGGCCCAGACUCCUACGGGAGGCAGCAGUGGGGAAUUUUGGACAAUGGGCGCAAGCCUGAUCCAGCCAUGCCGCGUGCAGGAUGAAGGCCUUCGGGUUGUAAACUGAUUUUGUACGGAACGAAAAGCCUUCUUUUAAUACAGGAGGGUCAUGACGGUACCGUAAGAAUAAGCACCGGCUAACUACGUG